UUGUUUCUUGGGUUAAGUGCAUGUUUUGGGAUAAGGGGUUAGCAUUUAAGUCCUGGGAGCUGGGAGUUAAGGUAUAUAUGAGAAAGUCUAUAUGAUAAUGUAUUCAUAGAUCUAGGUGCUUCCUCUUUCCAUCCCCACUGCUACUUACCCCUGUUCUUUUUUUUUAGGCCUAUGGAUUUGUCAACUAUUAAGAAAAACAUAGAAAAUGGACUGAUCCGAAGCACAGCUGAAUUUCAGCGUGACAUUAUGCUGAUGUUUCAGAAUGCUGUAAUGUACAAUAGCUCAGACCAUGAUGUCUAUCACAUGGCAGUGGAGAUGCAGCGAGAUGUCUUGGAACAGAUCCAGCAAUUCUUGGCCACGCAGUUGAUUAUGCAAACAUCCGAGUCUGGGAUCAGUGCUAAAAGUCUUCGAGGGAGAGAUUCUACCCGCAAACAGGAUGCUUCAGAGAAGGACAGUGUCCCAAUGGGCUCUCCUG
rnacentral:sRNA from 1 species